GAAGAAGAAACAAAGAACCCGAAGUCAAAGGCCACGCUGUUUACUUCUGACCAUAACUGACCGUAACUUGACUGUUUCAGAAAGAUGAGAGAAGUGCAGAGGAAAUCAUCAUCUGUCUUGGCAUGCUAAAAGAGGAGAUAAAGAACAGUAGCAAAUAUGCUGCUAGGCCAUUGACCAGCAGUUGGGUACUAAGAAAGGAGAAGCUCUUAUUGACCUGUAAAAUGAAAACAGGACAUUUUCAAAUUUUUUUGUUGUAGGGAUGGGGUACAAGUAGAAGAUUGGUCAAUAUUAUGUACAUGUACCUUGAUAUGAAUUUAUUUUUGAUUGUGUUCAAUGAUAAACUGGAAAUAAAUGAUAACAUAAAUUC